GCCCCUUCCAAUGGUGCUACAAUAUUCAUGCCACCACCAUUUGCCCUUUUUUCAGUGCUCAAAAUUUUAUCUCCAACUCCAAGGCCUCGAACUAAAUGGUCCUUGGUUAAACAGCAACAGAAUUUUGCCUAUAUAUAGCAACAAUAAGAAGUAAGAACCCAUAUUUCCGAUGCCAGUACCUAUAGGAAGUUCAGGUUAUAAUUAGAGAGGAACUCAAUCAUCAUGAAGAUCUUGGUAGCAUUCUUUGUUGCUUUCCUCUUGAUCUUGGAAACUUUCCAAGCUGAUGCCAGAGAAAUUAGAACGGGGAACAAGGUGGUGAUAAACCGCCAUCUCUCGACUGAACUAACAUAUCAAAAAACAAAACCUGGAUUUGCUGAAGUCAAGGACUCCACUUCAAAUCAAAUUAAAACCAACAGCAACCCUAAUAGCGGCAGUAAUAUUGAUGAUGAUGAUGAUGAUGCGAACCAGAGUUACGGCAACUAUGGACAGAAUAACAGUGGAACUAAGACCCACCACUAUUAUCCGACAGAUCAUAGUCCCAUCAAGAACUAAUCAAGGCUUAGUAUUCCGUGAAGCGAAUGAAGCUUAUGUAAUGUGUGUAGCUUGUAAUAACGUGGGAAAUAGAUGUUUCUCGCCAUAAGUGUGCAGCACAUGUACUAGUGUAAUGUAAUGAUGCAAUGCAAGUUCUGGCUUCCAGGCCAACAAAACAAUGGACUUUGCAUAUAUAGAAUAAGAAGACCAUGACGACUAUGCCUGGCAA